rnacentral:rRNA from 1 species
CAGCAGCCACGGUAAUACGUAGGUGGCGAGCGUUGUCCGGAAUUAUUGGGCGUAAAGGGAGCGCAGGCGGACAUAUAAGUCCAUCUUAAAAGUGCGGGGCUCAACCCCGUGAGGGGAUGGAAACUGUAUGCCUUGAGUGCAGGAGAGGAAAGCGGAAUUCCCAGUGUAGCGGUGAAAUGCGUAGAUAUUGGGAGGAACACCAGUGGCGAAGGCGGCUUUCUGGACUGCAACUGACGCUGAGGCUCGAAAGCCAGGGGAGCGAACGGGAUUAGAUACCCCUGUAGUCCCUGUCUCUUAUACA